GGCUGCAGAAACAUGGUCUUGAACCUGGAAGAACGUGGGUGUGGUGGCUCUUCGUCCUUGGGGUGAUCCAGCUUCGAAUAACCCAAGACUGAAGACACCUUUGGAAAUCCUCUGUGUUGAAUAUUAAAAUGUCAAGGCAUUUAUUAAGUAAUCUACCGAAUGUCAGGCAACGCUUUAAAAAGAAGAAUAUGAUGGUCCCUGUGGGCGAUAGACACCCAGCCUGCAGGGGAGAAUACCCAAACGACUUAAUAAUGCCGUGAGACGCCUGAGACACGUACAGCGGAGGAGCCCGAGUGUGGAGAGCGGAGGAUAGUGCGCCAUCUAGAGGACGAUCCCAGUGACGUGGGUAAAGGUGCUACGGAAAGACCCAAACGAAGCGCUGGGAUGAGCCUGGGGCCAGGCCAGCAAGUCAGAUAAGGACUGGGGAGCACACCGGUCCCAGGCUCCACCUGCCCCGGGCGGACUCAGGGAACGGCGGCGGGGGCCGGGGGGCCUGCUCUUUCAUGCACGUAAAGCCGGCACCUCGAAAAUCAGAACAUCUCACUUGGUACUUGUUUUAAAAUAAUCACAUCCUAAAAAUUUUGGAAGUAUAAUUUUUUCAUUAACAAUGUCAGUUUGUAACGGGAUAUUUACUCCAAGGAGAAAUAAUGACUGGCUUGAUUUCUAAAAUGUUACAACCGUGAUACAUUUGGUUUUUUCUCAUAUGCUGCAUAGUAUCCGUUUAAGUCUUCCUUGGGCCCAGAAAUGCAUCUUCCUGAGUCGGCAGCAGCUUUGGAGGCCAAGGAGGAGUCGAGUUUUGAAGAGACGUGGACUGGGGUUACCCUCCUUCCUCACCUCUCAUCACUGUGGAGACAACUUCACAAGAGAACGAGCAUAAUGCUGGCUUCGGGGGGUUAUUUUGAGAAUGACAUGAGAUAAACUAUGUGAAAUGGCCAUUAUGGGCUAAAUUAUGUCCCCUCGAAAUGCUUUGUGGAAGUUUCUGGCUCCCAGGACCCCAGAAGGUGACCGUACCUGAAGAUGAGAGCUUUCAAGAGAUAAGUUAAAACGAGGUUAUUAGGGCGGGUGCAGCCUGACCGCUGUCCUUACUGGACGAGGGGAUUAGGACACAGACAGACAGAGGGAAGCCCGUGUGAGGACACUGGGAGAAGAUGGCCGUCUACACGGAGGAGAGAGGCUUCAGAAGAGACCGGCUCUCAGGACACUUUGACCUUGGACUUCUUGCCUCUAGAGCCGUAAGAGAAUACGUUUCCGUUGUUUGGCUCAUUGUGGUGGUUCACACGGAAGCCCCAGCAGACUCUCCCAGGCCUUGUUGCCUAAGUUCUUUUUCCUUUUCUUGUCCUCUUUUGGGAGGCACCUGAUUUUAUUAACUCCCUUUCUUGAGGUCAGGAACUGCGUUUUGCUCGUGUUGGCUUUGGCCCCGGCUAAUACACACUCCAGGUUCACAGCAUGAGUGCAUCCAGGGGCUGUUUCUCAAAGUAUGUUCUGAGGCACAGACUCCUGAAAGACCCUGCAUUUGAAAAGGGUGCCCUGGUCCGAGGACUUUGGGAAACACGGUGUAGCAUUGUCCUGCUUAGCGGUUUAUCACACGCACGCUGCCCAGGAGCAGAGGAGGCUUUAAGGGGCUCUGCAGUGAAGGAUGUUACACCACCGUUUCCCAAGCUCCGUUGGCCUUGGGGACCUUCUGAAAAGCCACUUCCUAAUGUGGGAGGACUCGUGUCCAGGUGAGCUGGAGCACCUCAGCCUCGAGGUCUGGCUGCGCUUAACCCUUUCAUCACGAAGGGGAUGCCGCUGCCAAGCUGCACCUGGCCUCUGACUAGAACAGAGUUUUGGACAAUUAAUGCGAAUUAGGCACAUUUUUAAGCAAAAGAGAGUGUGGUUUGGAUGCUAGACCCUCUCUCAGGGCUUUUUUUUUUUUUUUUUUUUUUUCUUUUUCUAACUUGAUUCCACUGGGUUCUCCCCACGGCCCUCUCUUCUCUCCCUUUCCACACUUUGCAUGUAAAGCAGCAUAUUUAAAAGGGGGCUAAUGAAUGAAGACCUGCAUUUAGUGUCAUGCCCCACUGUUUUCAUCCCCUGUCCCACUGAUUGCAGGCAGCAUGUUUUGUCUCCCGGUUUUAAAGCCUCUCUCCUCGGUAUCUUUCACUAGUGAGGACAGGCUGUUGGUCACAGCUGAAUAAAAGGCACUUC
rnacentral:lncRNA from 1 species